GACCGUCUCACCUCAUAUCCCGGCAACCUCCAACACCCCCCAAGCUACCGUCACCUCCACUUCGCAGCCCCCAUCCACCUGCCGCGGUGGGCGACUUAAAGACAAUGUAGUACAUAUGGACAGUGGCAUUGAUAGGAUCAUGUUGGUGAGAUUGGUGAUCGAAGAGGAGACCUUUUAGCAGGUAUGUUCGCCAACCACUCCUAGGAGUUUGAAAGCUGAGACUCACUAGAUAGAUUAUGAGGGGUAGCCCAGAGGCUCAACGAUUAAUAUUAGGAGAUAAUUUAAACGGACAUAUAUGAGGGGAAGCAUACAAUGUACUUGGGCGCACAUGCUGGUUUCUGGUUUGGAGUAAGGAAUGAAGGACAUACGCUACUUGAGUUUGCUACCACCACACGACUUGGUUGUCGCAACUUUUUCUUUAAGUAGAGAGGCACCCAACUGAUAUUCUUCCAGAGUGGACAACAUAGUACAUAGAUCGAAUAUAUCCUAGUGCGUAAACGCGAGAUUAGGGUAUGCAGAGACUGCAAAGUUCUUCCUAGAGAGGCUUGCUACUCCCAACAUAAAACUUUGGUCAAACUGUCAAAGACAGUAUAAGCACACGCUUGUUGCAUGACCCAUGGAGAUGAUGCCGGACUAAUGCUUCCUCCAAGGUUGGCUUUUGUACAGGUGGUGCUUGUACAGCUGUGCUGAUUUGGAAGAAGGCUAAUGAAAAGAUUGAAGUUCUUGAUGCUGCUCUGUCCAUCAAAGAUGUACUUCAUAAUGCUGGGACUAAGUAAAACUAGCUGAUUCUGAUCAAAGAACACCAGGAUGGAAAAUUAAUUUCUAGGAAAUGAAGGGUAUUCCUCUAUGAAUUGAAAUUGGUCCUUGUGAUGUUUCCAGCAGGAGUGUGGUCAUAUCUGGAAGAGCUAUUCAUGGAAAACCAGGGAAGGUUUUUGGAAUAUCUAUGGAACCUUCAGUACUCUUACCCAAUGUCAAAUAAAAGUCGGAUGCGGUUCAAUUACCCCUUUUGGAUAAAGCAUCUUCUCUCCAACAUAGUGAUCAAGAUGAUGGUGAAGAAAACAUAGGUGCAACCUUUAGAUGUUUUCCUUCCAAUUAACCUCAAGGGUCAAAGAACUUCCUUAUGACGGGUAGUCCUGCAGACGCAGUUAUAGUUUUUGCUAAAUCUUACUGAACAACUGUCCUAUUCAUAAUCAGGUCCACAUUCUAUUCUUAGAGUAUAAGUAUGAAAUAAUCCAAUUAUCUUCUGCGGGCCGCAUUUUCUCUUUGAGCAUUGAAGUAGACAGCAGCAACCGGUGACCCUAGGUCAUUUUCUUGAGAGAAGGCACGAGUAUUGAAAUUAUCACGAGAAACAGGAAGUUAUUAUGUCUAAAGCUUAUUGGAUGAAUUAUAAUACAUUGCAAAUCAAGAAUAAAGUUUCAUUGAUACACGUGAGCCGCGACAAAAAAAGGGUGACAAGUGUCUUGUUCUGAAUGAAUGAGCUUCAAAGUUACAGAUGCAUGAAAACGAAAUCUGACAUCCAAAAGGAGUAUCUUGAGCUUAGUGGAAAAUAUCUUGAUUUCAGAAAAGAACGGGGCGAAUUGUAUUAGGUUAGAGAUGGCAAGAUGAGUGAGUGGGCACAAGGGUUCCUUAGACCAUCCACAACAAGGAUGUCCAUAGGAAAUUUGUGGUGACAUGUAGGGUGUUUGUAGAAAGACUAUUGAUGUGAGUGGUGACAUGGAGGAUGUUCAUCCAUGGUUGUUUGUAGAGAAGGAUGAGGAAGAAUGAGGAGAGAUAAAGGUAAACGACAAAAGUUACUUUGGAAUUUAUUUGGUUGUUUGUAAGAAGGAUGUAUAUAUUAUUGUUGUGGGUAAAAAGUGUUUGUGGGAAUGAUGGAUGAAAAGCUGACGUAGCAUGUUGAUUAGGAUGUUUGUUAGAAGGAUAUCCUGAACUAAUGCGGAUAGUCUUAUGGAUCAUAAGGGUUCAUGCUUAAUAUGGGUCAUUUUCAGUAAAGGUGGACACAUGCCUGUUCAGGUUGAAUCACAAAUUUUAUUUUGUUCAUUUUUUUGAAACUUCGAUAUGUGUUUAUUAUAGAUACAUGAAUCAGAAAUUUGCAAUAAUAUAAUCUAAAUCUCAUGUUGGGGAUUUUUGCUGUA